rnacentral:lncRNA from 1 species
UAGCAAUAGCAAGUUAGCAGGUGCAUUAUCAAGAUAGUGAAAUCCUUGACUUGAUAGUCAAAUUUUGUAAACAUCAUUAGGAAUAGUUUAUAUAUAUAGAGGGAGGGAGAGAGAGAGAAAUAGAUUGGACUUAGGUUGAUUGGAUUUGAGUUCAAUUUAGUCAGAUUUCAAUCAUUCUGAUUGGUGCAGAUCUUGAUGCUGUAUCUGUAAGAUGUAUCCCUAG